UCUCCGUAGGUGAACCUGCGGAGGGAUCAUUACUGAGUGAGGGCUUCGGUCCGACCUCCAACCCUUUGUGAACCAAACUUGUUGCUUCGGGGGCGACCCUGCCGCUUCGGCGGUGCGGCGCCCCCGGAGGCCAUUAAACACUGCAUCCCUGCGUCGGAGCGAUUUAGUAAAUCUAAACAAAACUUUCAACAACGGAUCUCUUGGUUCUGGCAUCGAUGAAGAACGCAGC
rnacentral:misc_RNA from 1 species